rnacentral:snoRNA from 1 species
UACCUCCAAAUUCACUAUCCUUCAGAUCUACAUAGUAGUCUGAGAGGCUGAAAAAGGAGGAGAAGUAAAACUGAAGUGGCCUUGGAGUCUCCAGUGACAUACAAGUUCACUUCAAACAAAC